GGACGGGUGAGUAACACGUGGGUAACCUACCUAUAAGACUGGAAUAACUCCGGGAAACCGGGGCUAAUGCCGGAUAACAUUUAGAACCGCAUGGUUCUAAAGUGAAAGAUGGUUUUGCUAUCACUUAUAGAUGGACCCGCGCCGUAUUAGCUAGUUGGUAAGGUAAUGGCUUACCAAGGCAACGAUACGUAGCCGACCUGAGAGGGUGAUCGGCCACACUGGAACUGAGACACGGUCCAGACUCCUACGGGAGGCAGCAGUAGGGAAUCUUCCGCAAUGGGCGAAAGCCUGACGGAGCAACGCCGCGUGAGUGAUGAAGGGUUUCGGCUCGUAAAACUCUGUUAUUAGGGAAGAACAAACGUGUAAGUAACUGUGCACGUCUUGACGGUACCUAAUCAGAAAGCCACGGCUAACUACGUGCCAGCAGCCGCGGUAAUACGUAGGUGGCAAGCGUUAUCCGGAAUUAUUGGGCGUAAAGCGCGCGUAGGCGGUUUCUUAAGUCUGAUGUGAAAGCCCACGGCUCAACCGUGGAGGGUCAUUGGAAACUGGGAGAC
rnacentral:rRNA from 1 species